rnacentral:lncRNA from 1 species
GAUCAGCAAAGUCUCUUCUAAGUGAUCAACGUGAUCAACGAAGACAAAUGUUCCAGAAAUACCUAGAGGAAAAGCGACUGAAAAAAUUGAGAAACCUCAUCGACGACCAUUUAUAGUGGGUGUUUAUAGACCUGAUAAGCCUAUUUUUCUUUCAUGAAUACCAGCACACCAACCAAAAAAGAUCAUUAAUGGGAGUGAUGUUCAAGCAACAUGAUCUGGUCAAAGACAAACUUCUGAAAAGAAAGUGUCCAACGAGAAAACAGCCUGCAAUGCCCACGUGCGUGAGAACCACUCGGUCGAUGACUCAAAGAGCGAAGCAGACCUCGGGGGCAGGCGCCGCCAGUGCAGCCUCCGCGGGAGCAGCCUCCGCUGCGCCGGCCACGCGAGCGGCGCGUGGGGAGAACUGUUCCUUCAUCAGUGGCUGAAGUAGAAUGCUCUGGUCCCUGAGGCUUUUCGCGUUCAGUUUUUAAAAUCAUCGUGUACUUCUUUGAGUUGGCGAGGAGGAAACGGGAGAUUCCAGGUCCUGAAGACAGGUUCAGUGCCCCACCAUCCAGUUAGCACACAGUGGGCGCUCAAGCGGUGGAGUAUGUGCAUCGGGUGGGCAGCGCCACAAAGUGAAGAUUAAUGGCCCCAGUAAAUUACAGCCCAUUUGUUUGGUGGAAUACAGUGUACCGUUUAAGAACCAUCCUGCGAAAGACACUUC